rnacentral:lncRNA from 1 species
GUGGUUAUUAUUUGUUGUUUAUGCAAUGUAAAUAAAUCUGGGUAAUUAACCAAAACCGACGGAAAUACAUCAGCUAUCAGAGGAAAAUAGUUAUCAAAGGUACCAGGAUUAUAAUUCAGUACACCAGACGCGCGUUUCGUCUACAUAAGACUCAUCAGUGACGCUCGUAUCAAAAUAUUUAUAAAGCCAAACAAGUACAAAGCGUAAGAGCAAUGAGGAUCAAAAUUCCAAAAAGUUAUGCCAAAUACGGCUAAGGUAUUCUAUGCCUGGGAUAAGAAAUUCCUAAGUGUUUUGAAAAUUUCAAAAUUUUGUAAACAGGAAAUGUAUAAAAAUGACCACAUUGUUGAUAUUCAUGUCAACACCGAAAUGUUGACUACUGGGCUGGUGAUACCCUCGGGGACGAAACGUCCACCAGCAGUGGCAUCGACCCAGUGGUGUAAAUAGUUGUCAAAGGUACCAGGCUUAUAAUUUAGUACGCCAGACGUCUACAUAAGACUCAUCAGUGACGCUCAUAUCAAAAUAUUUAUAAAGCCAAACAAGUACAAAGUUGAAGAGCAUUGAGUAUCCAAAAUUCCAAAACGUUAUGCCAAAUACGGCUAAGGUAGUCUAUGCCUGGGAUCAUAAAUCGAGAACAAUACACACCAUCGGUAAAUUAACAUUUUAGUAAUUUUUAUUCCAAAUUACGUUGGACAAAUUUUAAUGUUAAUUUUAAAGUUUUUUGAAAAUUUCAAAAUUUUGUAAACAGGAAAUUU